AGAACGAGAACCCGAGCUGGGGGAGGGGCAGACUCCCUACUGCAGAGCCAUGGAAGGGCGCCCAGCUGGGUCUCACAAUACUGAGAUCAUGACCUCAGUGGGGUGCUUAACCGCCUGAGCCACCCCUGGGCCCCAGCAAGUAAUAUUUUUAAGCGGCACCAUACCAAGCCCUUUAAAAAGUGCAUACAGCAUUCUAUUUCGUGUCUUCUCAACAACCAAGAAGUCGAUAUUGUUAUGGCCAUUUUAUGGGUGUUUGGCAGAGAGGAGGCAUGAGAAGCUCCUAAGCUGAGAAAUAAUUUGCCCUUCAAUUCUGGACACCCGAAAAGAAGCUCAUCUUGCAGAAGUUGUCAUUUUAAUCUUAUAACCGGUACACAAAGCUUAAGAGUCAGUGAUGGUGACUAAGAAGCCUGAAGAAAGAGCGUCUACAACAUGAGUGUCGAAAACAAGGAAACAACUUUUUAACUCUGGAAGAUUGCCACAAAGUACUGCCAGUGUUGUCACACCCGAACAGCACACAGAACAGCACACUGGAAGACACUCUAAGUGCACAGCCGAACAGCACACUGGAAGACACUCUAAGGCAGGCUCCCAGAAUUGGAGACAAAAGGAGGGUAGGAUCCAUGCCCAGCAUGAAGCCCAACUCAGAGCCUGAACUAUUGACCAUGAGAUGAAGCCUGAGCUGAGGUCAAGAGUUGGAUGCUUAACCAACGGAGCCACCCAGGCACCCCUACUAUGCUUCAUUUUGUUUUGGACAUCCUCGACAGAAUUCAACCAAUAGCCUUAAAAUACAGGAAAUUCUAAAAAGGGAGUAUGCUGUAACAUGGUCAAUACCUCAAAAAGAGAUUUACUAAGUAAAUAAGCACAUUUAGCUUCCAUUGCAUCCACUCCAAAGUCUGCAAUGGGAGUAAUCAAUGCUGAAAUUUAAAAAAAAAAAAAAAAAA